GUGCCAGCAGCUGCGGUAAUACGUAGGUGGCAAGCGUUGUCCGGAUUUAUUGGGCGUAAAGCGAGCGCAGGCGGUUUCUUAAGUCUGAUGUGAAACGCCCCCCGGCUCGAACCGGGGAGGGUCAUUGGAAACUGGGAAACUUGAGUGCAGAAGAGGAGAGUGGAAUUCCAUGUGUAGCGGUGAAAUGCGUAGAUAUAUGGAGGAACACCAGUGGCGAAGGCGGCUCUCUGGUCUGUAACUGACGCUGAGGCUCGAAAGCGUGGGGAGACAAACAGGAUUAGA
rnacentral:rRNA from 1 species